rnacentral:lncRNA from 9 species
GCAACAUGCAAAUAUCAAUUACAUUUUAUGUACUAUCACAUAUUAAAUAUUGCUUUUAUAUUAGCAUCAAAAAUACUUAUAAGUGGGAGUUCCCGUUGUGGCGCAUCAGAAACAAAUCCAACUAGUAUCCAUGAAGAUGAAGGUUCAAUCCCUGACCUCGCUCAGUGGGUCGGGGAUCUGGCGUUGCCGUGAGCUGUGGUACAGGUUGCAGACAUGGCUUGGGUCCCACACUGCUGUGACUGUGGCACAGGUAUAGCUCUGAUUCAACCCCUAGCCUAGGGCCUUCCAUAAGCCACACUCGCAGCCCUAAAAAACAAAACAAAACAAAACAAAAAAAACCCAAACUUAUAAGUAAGUUCCCUCAUGGAUCAGCAGAUUAAGGAUCCAGUGUUGUAACUCCUGUGGCUCUGGUCCUAUCCCUGGCCCAGGAACUUACACACACUGAGAGUAUGGCAAAAAAAAAAAAAAAAAAAAAAAAAAAAAAAAAAAAAAAAAAAAAAAAACUUAUGUAAAAAUUGAUGCUCAGCUAUGUACACUUAAAACCUCAAAGCAAUGCUGAGAAAAACUAACAAAGACCUAAAGAAAUGGAGAGAUAUACCAUGUUCAUGGAUCAGAAAAAAUCAAUACCAUGAAGACAUCGGUUCUCCCCAAAUUGCUACAUAGAUAUGAUGCAACCCCAAUCAACACCUCAGCACGACCUUUUUUGAGGACAAACUGACAAGCUUAUUCUAAAACUCAUAUGAAAUGAAAUGCAAGCCAGGCAGGGGCAAAUCUUUGAGAACCAUGGAAACCACGCUUCCUGGCUUGGAGUUUUUCUCGCAGGCACUGAGAAGGCAUUUCAACAUUAAGCAGAAGGACGACAUGACUGACCAGUGUUUUAGCUACAUCACACUGAAAUCCCAUGAGCAGCUUCCCGGCGGAUGCAGGAGCAGAGCAUGGACUGUGUGGCAGUGAGCGUGUGCAUUACCUACACCCUGAGAAGGAAUGAGGAGAUGGGCAGCCUCCUCUGGAGAGCAUCUUCAGGAGGAUGCAGGCUUCCAAGAAGAAAGAUGGAGAGAAGCUCUGUACACAGAAGGCAAGUUCAGCAAAUGUUCACAGCUUCCAAGGGCCUCCCUCAUAAAAUGUCCACACUAAGUGAAACAGUUUCUUCACCUUGAGAAUCCCAGCUGUUUAUCAUGGUGAAAGUCCAGUGAAUUGGGAGCCCAAGAGAAAACUGCUCUGCACACAGAAUUUAGCAUUGACAGCUCUCACAGUCACUUUCAUGCACUUUGUACUCACAAAAGUAACCCCCUCGGGGCUGCGUGAACUUUGAGAAGUUCUGUGUUUCCAGCAGGGCCCAGAUUAAGCAGUUUUUGAUUAUUCAAUUGCUGACUGAUUUGAUCUGAGCUAACUGUUCAGGCUUAGUUGCCUCACUCAGAAAAGCCCUUGGGACAAAAACCUGCGUCUACUCUGCACAGGCCACAAAACCUACAAACAGAAAUUACAACAGGCCUUGAGGUACGCUCAGCACACUCCUGCAGGCCCACGGCUCAUUCUAAAGUCUGAAUAUACAAACCUGAAAACGUCCCAAGAAUGCAGUGAACGCUCUGAAGUUUGCCGGUAUGUUGACAAAACCCACCCCUAAUAAAUACCUGCCUCCCUGAGAAAGGUUUGCCAGACCUGCAGUGAGGCCAGAGCUCAGCCCAUGCUCAGAGAAGUGACAGAUGCCACCACACCUUUGUGAAGAUUUGGCUAAAAGGACAAUAUGGAGGAAAGACAUGGUUGGUGGGGGAGCCCACCAAGGCUUCUCAGUAGGCUCGGGACUUUUGCUGGUAGAUUUGACUUCUACCAGCCCUUCCUCGGCUUUUCCACUUUAAGGGAAUGGGGCUGGGGGAGGGGGGGUAGGCCUGAAGCUUGUGAAGGAAGAACAGAGCCAGAGCUGCUGGCCCUGGUGCACAAGGACCUCGCAGUGUUUGUCUGCCGAGGCACCUGCCCAUGAGGGACUCCCACCUGUGGUGUCCCUUUGGCGCACCUGGUAGGAGAGGAGGGGCUCACAGCUUCUCUUAUUGACCAGUGACCACUAAUCUUCAAGUUGCUUGUGUUUAGAAGGAGCCCUACAGCGGUUCACUAAAGGUUUGCCUCGGCUCUGUCAUCUGACAGGAGUCACCCAGGUUUUGGGGUGAGUGUAUGAGGUUGAUCCCUCCCCCAUUUGUUCCCUACAAUCCCAUCACUAUCAUUUCAUAUCAGUUAACUGUUCUCAGGGAAUUUGCUUUAGGAUCAUACAGGUCCUGCCUUCACCAAGCAUCCUCACCUUGAUUUCAAACAGCAUCCCAACCCUCCAUUCAACAAACAAAUGGAACAUGGAAAGAAAGUCAAAAACCUCAGUUGGGUGUUAACGGUUGGCAGAAUUUUUCUACUUUCAGUUUAACAAUGACAGUACAUGUACUAUAAAAUAACUUGCAUUAUUUUAUAAAAGACAAAUAACAAUUUGUAUCUCAUUUCCGAGGCUCAACAAGUGACACGUUGCAGAAUAUUCUAGGUUUUGUGCUCAAGACGAAGCUAACCCAUGUUUUUGCGGUUCUAAUUCAAAGAGGGUGGGUGUCUCAUCUGUGUUCAGAACAGAAGGUCCUCUUAAAGAUGUGAAGACUACCCUUUGUUUGCAGUCACAGAAACUGUCUUUCAAAUAACUAAAGGAUCCGUUUUACCGGGAUAUUUUCCAGGAAAGCAAGGUCAGGCUGUAUCCCAAAGCUAGUGUCAGUUAUCAGCUUGCCUUCGUUUGGGAGGGUGCCUCUUUAACCAGCUUAAAAAUCGCCAGGGGUUUUCUCCAGACUCCACUGACAGCCUCCACCCCCACCUCAAGAAUGAAUGAGGGGAAAACAAACAACUAUUCCAAGUUCCUUUUGAUCUCAAUAACAUCACCCAAAACUGGAAGAUAACUCCUUGCGGACUCCCACCUGACAUCAGAGGAAAAGGACUGAGAGCAAGUCCCUCGCCCGCCCUUCUGCUUCUGCAGAGCAGUGGCCGCACGCACCAAAGAUGAGACCUCGGGGACCCAGGGUGCGGUCAGGCAUGGGGCUGUGAACCCUAACCAGCUACACCUGGAAAGUCAGCCCGGACGUCACAGUCAGAAAGCGGCCCCAGCGCCCCAGGCUGGCCCUCGCAGUGAGACUGCGCCGGCUCGGCAGCCAAUCGACGGCCGCCCAGACGUUGCUAUGGCCACGCCGCCUGUUAGGACUGUGCACGCCCC